AGCUUGAAGAUUAUAUUUUAAGUAAAUUCUGCCCAGCGUUAAUAAUUAGCGGCCGCAGUACCUUGACUGUGCUAAGGUAGCAUAAUCAAUUGGCUUUUAAUUGAAGUCUGGAAUGAAAGGUUAAAUAAAGAAUAAACUGUUUCUUUUUAAUUUUUAUGAAUUUAUUUAUAAAGUGAAAAUACUUUUGGUUAGAAAAAAGACGAGAAGACCCUUAGAAUUUUUAUGAUCUUUUUAUUUUAAAAAAUAAUUUUUGUUGGGGCGACACUGAAACAUUUAAACUUUCAAAUAAUACAAGACAAUUUUCUUUGUAAGAUAAAAUUACCUUAGGGAUAACAGCAUAAUGAAUUUAUUAGUUUAUGACCUCGAUGUUGGACUAGGAACUAAAAGACUAACAGUCAAAAUAGAAUGUUCUGUUCGAACAAUUUUCUCCU
rnacentral:rRNA from 1 species